UGCUAUUGUACAUCUAGGAGGGCUUCAGCUCAAGCUGUGAAAUGUCCAGGACACUUGCUAUUGUGCAUCUAGGAGGGUUCAGCUCAAGCUGUGAAGUCCAGGAUAUGUUGGUGAGGGGCUCUUGAUUUAGGGAAUUAGAUCUGUGCUCCAGUUCCCCGAAUUAAGCCUGAAUGCCUUCCACAUCCCCCCCCCAGGUGCUGUAUAAUCCUCCGGGUUUAGCGCUUCCCCCUUAAUUAUAAUAAUAAUAAUAAUAAUAAUAAUGUGAAGUCCAGGACACUUGCUAUUGUGCAACUAGGAAGGUUCAGCUCAAGCUGUGAAGUCCAGGACACUUGCUAUUGUGCAACUAGGAAGGUUCAGCUCAAGCUGUGAAGUCCAGGACACUUGCUAUUGUGCAACUAGGAAGGUUCAGCUCAAGCUGUGAAGUCCAGUUUGUGUUUUCUCAGCCAAUCAGUCUCCAUUUCACUGCCAAAUGGAUGGACCAAGGACUCAAGUCUUCCAGUAUACUUUAGUAUACAUUAUUUGUAGCUUUGUAUAAUGUGCCAAAAAGUUCAUAAUGUUAAUUUUUAAUGGUAAAGUUUAUUUCCACCCAAUGUUCUGAUUUAAGUUAUGAGUUUGGAUAACAUUUAUAAUAUAUAAGUAAUCAUGUUUUUUCACUAAGUCACCCUACCUUGCUGCAAAAUAUAAAUUGUAAUUAAUGAAUUAUAAAUGCUGUUUUGAAAUACAGUAUAUAAUAAUAAUAAUACUAUUAUUAUGUGUAAUAAUACAAGAAAUACAAUGGUAUUUGACCAGAUUUAUUGGUACAUAAUGUUUGCUUGUUCCUUAUUAUACACAGUAUUUCACACAAGUUUUCAGAUAACACAGGUGUAUAUGUGAAGUGUUAAUUAUAUUCAUAGUUCAUUGGUAACUUCAUAAAAAUAUAGCCAACAAGCACUGCUAAAAAUGUUUUAAGAAAUAAAAUUGAUAAAUAUCUAAUGAA